UUGGCAUUCUAACUAUCAUCUUGAAAUUAAUUUAACUAUUGUUGCUAUAACUCUAUAAUAUGGUUGGGGACAGGUUUACAUGUAACUACUGCCUCCACUCACAAAGAGUAAGACACUGAUACAAACACAAGACAUAGCAUUCACUACUAAUCUGUUAUGACCGGCAACACCUAUACAAGGCGAGAUAGGGCAACUAGUGGCUGAUUAGGGGGGGUCUGUGCUGCGCACAGUUGCCCAGCCAAGGUAGCAACAGACUUUUAGAAGUCUUAGUUAUUUGUAGAAGUCCUAGUUAUUUAAUUCUAUUUACAGAGAGUUAUUAGAUAGAGUUUGUUGGGAACUCAGAUUUCCUUAUCCUAUUAUGUAAAAGAUUAUAAGAGUUCAACUCGGUUAAUGAAAAGGGCUUAGCCCAGGAUUGAGAUUAUAUCUCCCUAGGGCGCCUGGCGCCUCCUCCCUCCUCAGCUUUCGCAUCUACAGCUCCCAGCCACGGCUCCAGCUCGCCGACGCCUGCUGCGCUCUCACCUGCCUGCAUCUCCUCCCUACUUCCUUCACAGCAAGACGCGCCGUAACAAUGGUAUCAGACUCCAUGGUGACCUCGGGGGACUCCUCAGCGACGGCCCCUCCACCCACCACUGCGCCUCCUGCCGCGGCCCCCCUGGUGCCUCACUGCCGCUGGUCCAGGCCUCCGGCACCAUGGUGCCCGCCGGGUCGGCCGCGCCUCCUGCUGUCACCGCGGCGGAGGCCCUCCAAGCCCUGACGGCGGCCAUCACCGGUCUCCAGCUUCAGAUGACGGCCAUCAACCACCAGCUGGCCAACCAGGGCGCGCGACUAUCGGCGCUCGACGGUCGGCCCGCCCUGCCGCAGUUCGGGUUGCCGGGGUUUGGCAGCCUGUCCGCCUUACCAGCGUCCUCGGCCCCGGCGAUCUCUGAGAUACUAGCGGCGGUCGACUCCGCCGGGAUUGCCUUGUCGACCGCCCCGCUGUCGUCCCCGGCGACGUAGGUCUCGUGGCUCCCUCCCCCACCACACCCGUGGGGGGUGCCAAUCCACAAGAUCAGCUUUCCGCACUCGCCAUCGCCGGUGCCCUCGUUUUCGUCGGUCAUGCAGCCCCUGCCCCAGGCGCCGACUGCGCACAUGUCGGCGGCAGCCCCGUACCACACCUCCCCUUCGCCGGAGUGGGAGGGUAACGCGGUGCCCAGGUACCAUAAGCUCACGUUCCCUGUCUACGAGGGCGCGGAGGACCCGCUCGGGUGGCUCAACACAUGCGAGCAGUUCUUCCGCGGCCAACGGACGCGGGAGGCCGACAAGGUGUGGCUGGCCUCAUACCACCUCAAGGGCGUAGCACAGCAGUGGUUCCUAGUCCUGGAGAGCGACAUCGGCCGACCAUCCUGGCCUGAGUUUCGCCGCUACUGUCAGGAACAUUUCGGGCCAGCUCGCAGCACCAACCACCUCUCAGAGUUGGCCUGACUUCCGUUCGGGGCGUCGGUGGACGCCUAUAUGGCGGCGUUCUAGGCCCGUGCGGCGCACGCGGGCGAACUGUCCUCGCUGCAAAAGGCUCGGCUCUUCAUUGGGGGACUACCAGAAUAUAUUCGCAUCGACGUCGAGCUUCAGAAGCCCCGGGACUUGCAGCACGCAUUGCGGUUGGCGCAUGCUUAUGAGCGGCGCAACGUAUUCCUCCUCCCGCGACCAGUACGUCGCGCGGCGAGCGGACUGGCGCCCCUACCACCUCCCACUGCAUCGAGCGGCCAGACCUCGUCAGCUUCGUCCGCGGCCCGUUCGUUCAAGCGGCUCUCACCGGAAGAGAUGGCUGAGCGCCGUAAGAUGGGACUCUGUUACAACUGCGACGAACCGUAUGCCCGAGGGCAUAAGUGCGCCCGGCUGUUCUAUCUGGAGGCCUCGGACUACAUUGUUGAGGAGCCGGACGACACUGCCGACGACAUCGCGGACGAGACCCCACUGACACCGACACCCUUUGACCCGGAGACCCCCAUGAUUUCUCUGUCUGCAAUCACAGGGAUCCAGGCCUAGGAAACGAUGCAGCUCCGCGUCGUCUGCGCUGGCCAGGAAUUCACAGCGCUGACUCCGGCUCGACACACAAUUUCAUCAACGAGCUGGCUGCACACCGCGCUGGUGUUCGCUUCCUGGACAGUGCCGGUGCCCACGUGGUGGUUGCUAACGGCGACCGCGUGGCCUGCCGCGGUGUCGCCAGGGAGGUGCCCAUACAGAUCGGCAAGGAGUCCUUCGCCGUGGAUUGCUUCUCCAUCCCGUUGACCGACUACGACAUGGUCCUCGGCAUCGCGUGGCUGCGCACCCUUGGCCCCAUUCUCUGAGAUUUUGACGGCCUCACGAUGCAGUUCACCCGCCGUGGCCGCAAGGUGCUGUGGUGUCAGGAGUUGGACCACAGCGCCCUGCUCCGUCCAGCAGGUUGUACUCCGGCACCACGGUAGCGACCAAGGGGUCUGAGCCCGAGCUACUGGAACGCCUCCUGGAAUCUUACUCCAACCUAUUCGCACCACCUACAGGCCUUCCACCAGCACGGACCUGCGAUCACCGAAUCCACCUCAAGGGGGGGACGGACCCGUCGCUGUUCGUCCUUAUCGCUACCCGCAGCUCCAAAAUGAUGAACUGGAGCGUCAAUGCGAGGAGAUGUUGCGUCAGGGCACGGUGCGCGCCAGCACGUCACCCUUUUCUGCGCCAGUGCUGCUGGUUAAGAAAAGUGAUGGCUCGUGGCGCUUUUGUGUUGAUUAUCGGACCCUCAACGCCGCCACGGUCAAGGAUAAAUUUCCCAUCCCCGUUGUCGAAGAACUUUUGGAUGAACUCCAUGGGGCGAAGCUCUUUACCAAGCUUGAUCUGCGUUCGGGAUAUCACCAAGUUCGUGUGCACCCGGAUGAUGUUGCCAAGACAGCGUUCCGCACCCACCAUGGCCACUUCGAAUUUUUGGUCAUGCCCUUCGGGUUGUCUAAUGCUCCCUCGACGUUACAGGCACUUAUGAACCUCGUCCUCAAGCCUUUCCUCCGCCGCUGCGUCUUGGUGUUCUUCGACGACAUCCUCGUCUACAGCUCGUCUUGGACGGAGCACUUGCAGCAGCUGCGCGCUGUCCUCGACGUCCUUCGUGCCCAUCAGCUGCACUUAAAGAAGUCAAAGUGCUCCUUUGCAAUGCCAACUGUCCAGUACCUCUGCCACGUCAUCUCUCACGAAGGCGUUGCCAUGGAUACUUCCAAGGUGGCUGCAGUUCAGUCCUGGCCGCAGCCCCGGUCUGCGCGUGGUCUUCGCGGCUUCCUAGGCCUCGCUGGGUACUACCGGCGAUUCAUAAAGGAGUACGGUGCCAUUGCUGCACCCCUGACCAACCUGCUCAGGAAAAACGCAUUCCAGUGGUCCAUGGAAGCUGAGGCGGCAUUUGCCAAUUUAAAGUCGGCGCUCUCGGCGGCACCUGUUCUCCACCUUCCUAACUUUGGCCGGGAGUUCUUAAUCGACUGUGAUGCGUCCGGCUCGGGCUUUGGGGCGGUUCUCCACCAAGGCGAAGGGCCCAUAGCGUUCUUCAGCCGACCGUUUGCUGCACGUCAUCUCAAAGUGGCAGCAUAUGAGCGGGAGUUGAUCGGCCUUGUGCAGGCCGUCCGUCACUGGUGACCUUAUCUUUGGGGCCGUUCCUUUGUCGUCCGCACCGAUCAUUAUGCGUUGAAGUUCCUGCUCGAUCAGCGCCUAUCAACCAUUCCCCAACAUCAGUGGCUCAGUAAGUUGAUUGGAUAUGAUUUCAGGGUGGAAUAUCGGCCGGGGCGCUUCAAUGUGGUGGCUGAUGCACUGUCCCGAUGUGAUGGUGAUUCUCCGCUGCUGGUUGCGCUGCCCUGCGAGGAGCUGUCCAGCGCUGCAGUUUCCGUUCCCACCUUCCAGCUCUUCUCCGACAUACGCCAUGAGCUCGCUGCGUCCGACGACCUGAGGACGUUCCGGGAUGCAGUGGCAGCCGGCGAUCAUGGUGGGGACUGGGUUGUCCAGGACGGGCUGCUCCUCCAUAAAGGGCGCGUGUUCGUUCCGCCCUCAUCGGCCGUCCUCGACGAUGUGCUCCAGUUGGCGCACACUGGGGCGCAUGAAGGGAUCCAGAAGACGUUGCAACGACUUCGCUCCGAGUUCUUCCUCGAACAUGAUCGCAGCGUCGUCCGCGACUUCGUCCGCUCCUGUGCGACUUGCCAACGCAACAAGACGGACACCUUGCACCCGGCGGGUCUUCUGCAGCCUCUGCCGGUGCCAUCACGCGUUUGGGCAGAUAUUGCCAUGGAUUUUGUGGAAGCCUUGCCCAAGGUCCAUGGUAAAAGUGUCAUCCUCACCGUCGUUGACAGGUUUUCGAAGUACGUCCACUUCAUCCCUUUGGGUCACCCGUACACGGCGUCCUCCGUUGCCCACUCUUUCUUCCACAACAUUGUUCGGCUCCACGGCUUCCCCGACUCCAUCGUCAGUGACCGAGAUCCUGUCUUCACCGGCCAUGUUUGGCGGGAUUUGUUUCGCCAAGCCGGUGUUCAGCUCCGGAUGAGUACAACGUUCCACCCUCAAACGGACAGACAGUCUGAAGCGGUGAACAAGACGAUUGCGAUGUAUCUUCGAUGCCUCACCGGUGACCGCCCCCGUGAUUGGCUAGAAUGGCUUCCUUGGGCGGAGUACUGCUACAACACCGCCUACCAUUCUGCCCUUCGGACGUCGCCGUUCACUGUCGUUUAUGGACGCGCCCCUCCGGAGCUCUUGCCAUACUCUUCAGGGAGUGCCAGAACAGAUGUCAUCGACGCGCUGCUGUCUGAUCGAGAUGAGUUUCUUGCUGAAGUGCGCGCCCGCUUGCUGCAAGCACAGGAACACGCCCGGCGUUUCUACGACGCCAAGCAUCGUCCGUUGGAGUUCGCGGUUGGGGACUGGGUUUUUCUUCGACUCCUACGUCAUACCCAGUCCGUCGCUCCUGCCAGCAAGGGCAAGCUUGGGCCCAAGUAUGCUGGUCCGUUUUAGGUGCUGGCUCGCGUGGGCGAGGUGGCUUAUCGUCUACAGUUGCCAGAGGGGGCUCGGAUCCAUGAUGUGUUCCAUGUCGGGGUUCUUAAACCCUUCCGGGGGUCACCGCCAUCUUCACCGCCGGCCCUGCCUCCUCUUCGUCAUGGUCGCCCGCUACUUCAGCCCGAACGCAUUCUACGUUCUCGCCUCAGUCGUGGGGAAUGGCAAGUUCUAACCCAAUGGUCUGAUCUUCCCGUCUCUGAAGCUACAUGGGAGCCUAUGGAGGAUUUCCGCGCGGCAUAUCCGACGUUCCAGCUCGCAGAUGAGCUGUUUCCGAAGGACGGGAGAGAUGUUAUGACCAGCAACACCUAUACAAGGCGAGAUAGGGCAACUAGUGGCUGAUUAGGGGGGGUCUGUGCUGCGCACAGUUGCCCAGCCAAGGUAUCAACAGACUUUUAGAAGUCUUAGUUAUUUUUAGAAGUCCUAGUUAUUUAAUUCUAUUUACAGAGAGUUAUUAGAUAGAGUUUGUUGGGAACUCAGAUUUCCUUAUCCUAUUAUGUAAAAGACUAUAAGAGUUCAACUCGGUUAAUGAAAAGGGCUUAGCCCAGGAUUGAGAUUAUAUCUCCCUAGGGCGCCUGGCGCCUCCUCCCUCCUCAGCUUUCGCAUCUACAGCUCCCAGCCACGGCUCCAGCUCGACGACGCCUGCUGCGCUCUCACCUGCCUGCAUCUCCUCCCUACUUCCUUCGCAGCAAGACGCGCCGUAACAUAAUCUGUACUAUAUUUACAAAUUGUACAUGAUUAUGAAAGACGAUCGGACAACAUAUCUUUACCAUUUUCAAAAGUUCAACCUCAAUUGACACAAACCAAUUGUUGAACGUGGAUAGGUUGAUUGCACGCAACCCAAAUUGUCAGAUUGCAGGUUUAUUUUCAAAAGUUCAAUCUCAAAUGUACACAAACCAAUUGAUGAGGCUGAUAGGUUGACUGCUUGCAGCCCAAAUUGUCACCCUAACAAUUCACUAUUUGGCCAAUGACAGUUAACCUGGUUUAUGUUCAUAAUGUAACAUAGAGAUUGUAGGACACCCCUGGUCUAAAAUUUGGAUAUGGUGGUGUUUCCUCAAACCUUAUACUCCCCCUUGUCUCUGAAAGCUUCAACUUCUAGUCAUCCUAAGUCAAACUUUUAAAACUUUGACCAAUUUUUUAGAAAAAAACACUAAGAUUUAUAAUACUAAAAUAAUACCAUUAGAUUUACCAUAUAAUAUAUUUUUAUAAGAUACUCUUUUAUGUCAUAGAUAUUGAUGCUCGUUUCUAUAAAGUUGGUCAAACUUAAAAAAGUUCAAAUGUCACGGAUUCUAGAGUUGAAGCUUU
rnacentral:lncRNA from 1 species